rnacentral:misc_RNA from 1 species
GAACUGCGAUAAGUAAUGUGAAUUGCAGAAUUCAGUGAAUCAUCGAGUCUUUGAACGCACAUUGCGCCCCCUGGCAUUCCGGGGGGCAUGCCUGUCCGAGCGUCAUUGCUGCCCUUCAAGCCCGGCUUGUGUGUUGGGUCGUCGUCCCCUCCGGGGGACGUGCCCGAAAGGCAGCGGCGGCACCGCGUCCGGUCCUCGAGCGUAUGGGGCUUUGUCACCCGCUCGAUAAGGACCGGCCGGGCGCCAGCCGGCGUCUCCAACCUUUUUUUCUCAGGUUGACCUCGGAUCAGGUAGGGAUACCCGCUGAACUUAAGC